UUCACGGACGCGUGUUUUCAGCUAUUUUGCACGCGCUUCAGCUUCUGAUUUUUUUUACGGAAAAAGAACAAAAACUCUCGUUUAAAGGAAACCCACUCUUGAUGGAAACGAAACCCACGUUCGCCACUCACUCCUGCCGCAAUUGUUUCUCCUUUCCCGCGAAUCAAAACUGUGAUUGAAAUUCACUCUCAUUUGUUGUGAACUAGUGAACCAGCGGCGUGGUCGUCUUCUCGUUUUCGUGCUCUGGCCUUUGUGAAUCGUCGUCUUCGUCUUCUCGUUUCUAUGCUCUCGCCUUUGUGAAUCAUAUUGUGGCUCUUGUGCCAGGCGUUUGUGGAAAGUUCUCACGGAAAACAUACAGCUUUUGCCUUCAUUUUUUCCAGCAAUGGUUACACAGUGCAUCAUCUUUCUUAAUUGUAGAAUUCUGAAAGAUAUAAAUAGAUUUGUGAACUAUGAGCAGAUGGUAAUAAUAACAUAGAACCAAAUGGUUAUGUAAAUAAAAAAAAUGACACCUGUAAUUACCAUGUGAGGAACAAUUGUAAGCUUUUCUUCCUUAGCUUUAUAAUCUUCAUUUACUUUGCUAAUAAUGCUCUGUGGUUGAGUAUUUGAUUCCAGAACAUUGUCUUCAAUCUUUGGCAUAUUGUCAGCUUCACUAAAAUCACAUAAGGUGUCUACAAUAAUGGAUCUACUGACGUUUUGCUGGUUAUGUUAUGGUGUUGGUAGGCCUGCUGCUACUGUUGUGUUGCAGAUUCUAUGUCCAGAUAAAUUGUGUACCGAAUUUUUACGACCCUUUUUUUAUCUUCAGUUUGUUUUCUGAGCUUUUUAGUGUGCCUUGUUGUUCUGAAUUUUAUCAAAUAUGCUUCUGUUUUGCUCUUAAUACGUUUUUUAUUACAGGAUAUUGAUUAUGGUCAGCUUUUGGUACUGAUGGCAUAUGAUAAAACAGCAAGUGUGGUAAGGAAUGAGUGCAAGCAAUGCUUGCCUAUGCUGCCAAGUGCCAACUGGUUUUGAGCUGAUGCACAGAGAAAGGAUAUGCAAAUGGAAAAGCUCCAUAUCAGAUAAAAUGUUACUACUGAAGUUUUGGAGCUAGAUUUUGCAAUCUUUGAUGUAUGUGGCUGAUAUCUAUACAACUUUUGGUGGACAUGCUUGUGCCACUGCUACUUGCGCUUAAGCUAUGAGAUUAUGAUGAAUUGGUUCAAAAGCAAUUGUAUUGUCUAAAUCAUUCUUUUAGUUAGGGAACCUUUUGAUCUUUAGAAAGUCUAUGUAACCAUGACAGAAGUCUCUAUUAAGACUAUCCAUGUAAUGUAAUAUUACUCAAAUCUAUGUAAUACAUUUCAUCGAAUGAAAUUUACAGACGCAAUUUUCAA